UACGAAGGGUGCAAACGUUGCUCGGAAUUAUUGGGGCGUAAAGCGCACGUAGGCGGCAUUGCAAGUCGGAUGUGAAAUCUUAUGGCUUAACCAUAAAAGUGCAUCCGAAACUGCAGUGCUUGAGUACUUAAGAGGAUCGCGGAAUUCCCGGUGUAGAGGUGAAAUUCGUAGAUAUCGGGAGGAACACCAGUGGCGAAGGCGGCGAUCUGGGAAGAUACUGACGCUGAGGUGCGAAAGCGUGGGGAGCAAACAGG
rnacentral:rRNA from 1 species